AGUGGCGGACGGGUGAGUAACGCGUGAGAAUCUGCCUUGGGGUCGGGGACAACCACUGGAAACGGUGGCUAAUACCGGAUAAGCCGAUUGGUGAAAGAUUUAUUGCCCGAAGAGGAGCUCGCGUCUGAUUAGCUAGUUGGUGAGGUAAGAGCUCACCAAGGCAGCGAUCAGUAGCUGGUCUGAGAGGACGAUCAGCCACACUGGGACUGAGACACGGCCCAGACUCCUACGGGAGGCAGCAGUGGGGAAUUUUCCGCAAUGGGCGAAAGCCUGACGGAGCAAGACCGCGUGAGGGAGGAAGGCUCUUGGGUUGUAAACCUCUUUUCUCAGGGAAGAAGCUCUGACGGUACCUGAGGAAUCAGCCUCGGCUAACUCCGUGCCAGCAGCCGCGGUAAUACGGAGGAGGCAAGCGUUAUCCGGAAUUAUUGGGCGUAAAGCGUCCGCAGGUGGCGAUUCAAGUCUGCUGUCAAAGCACGGGGCUUAACUCCGUAAAGGCAGUGGAAACUGAAUAGCUAGAGUGCCGUAGGGGUAGAGGGAAUUCCCGGUGUAGCGGUGAAAUGCGUAGAGAUCGGGAAGAACAUCGGUGGCGAAAGCGCUCUACUGGACGGCAACUGACACUCAGAGACGAAAGCUAGGGGAGCGAAUGGGAUUAGAUACCCC
rnacentral:rRNA from 1 species